UAAAUCUCUCGGUAGGUGAGGUUACUUAAAGGAUAUGGAUUGAUGCCGUGAAGAGCUGGAGACAGUUCCAACUGGUUAACAGGUUUCGCCGUAUUAAGGCGUAACCCAUUUCAAUUUCACCGCCUUUAAGUGCUAAAACUCGUACGAGCAGUAUC
rnacentral:sRNA from 2 species